UGGGGAAUAUUGGGCAAUGGGCGAAAGCCUGACCCAGCAACGCCGCGUGAGGGAAGAAGGGUUUCGGCUCGUAAACCUCUGUCCUAUGGGACGAAGGAAGUGACGGUACCAUAGGAGGAAGCCCCGGCUAACUACGUGCCAGCAGCCGCGGUAAUACGUAGGGGCGAGCGUUGUCCGGAAUGAUUGGGCGUAAAGGGCGCGUAGGCGGCCUGAUAAGUCUGGAGUGAAAGUCCUGCUUUCAAGGUGGGAAUUGCUUUGGAUACUGUCGGGCUGGAGUGCAGGAGAGGAAAGCGGAAUUACCGGUGUAGCGGUGAAAUGCGUAGAGAUCGGUAGGAACACCAGUGGCGAAGGCGGCUUUCUGGACUGUAACUGACGCUGAGGCGCGAAAGCGUGGGGAGCAAACAGGAUUAGAUACCCUGGUAGU
rnacentral:rRNA from 1 species